rnacentral:rRNA from 1 species
AUUGAACGCUGGCGGCAUGCUUUACACAUGCAAGUCGAACGGCAGCGCGGGCUUCGGCCUGGCGGCGAGUGGCGAACGGGUGAGUAAUACAUCGGAACGUGCCCAGUAGUGGGGGAUAGCUCGGCGAAAGCCGGAUUAAUACCGCAUACGACCUGAGGGUGAAAGCGGGGGAUCUUCGGACCUCGCGCUAUUGGAACGGCCGAUGGCAGAUUAGCUAGUUGGUGGGGUAAAGGCCUACCAAGGCGACGAUCUGUAGCUGGUCUGAGAGGACGACCAGCCACACUGGGACUGAGACACGGCCCAGACUCCUACGGGAGGCAGCAGUGGGGAAUUUUGGACAAUGGGCGAAAGCCUGAUCCAGCAAUGCCGCGUGUGUGAUGAAGGCCUUCGGGUUGUAAAGCACUUUUGGCGGGAACGAAAAGGACUGUGCCAAUACCACGGUUCGAUGACGGUACCCGCAGAAUAAGCACCGGCUAACUACGUG